rnacentral:rRNA from 1 species
UACGCAGGGUCCGAGCGUUGUCCGGAAUUAUUGGGCGUAAAGAGCUCGUAGGCGGUUUGUCGCGUCUGCCGUGAAAGUCCGGGGCUCAACUCCGGAUCUGCGGUGGGUACGGGCAGACUAGAGUGAUGUAGGGGAGACUGGAAUUCCUGGUGUAGCGGUGAAAUGCGCAGAUAUCAGGAGGAACACCGAUGGCGAAGGCAGCUCGCUGGAACGGUACUGACGCUGAGGCGCGAAAGCGUGGGGAGCGAACAGG